AAGUGAAAGGUAUGAACGAAAGCGGCUGAGCGAUGGCGACUGAAAGGAAUCACGAGGAUAGACGAACGAGGAUGACGAGAGGGAAGCACGAAGGUUCGUCGGUCGACUCGCAAGCCGAGAUGGUCUCCGGGGUUCGAUUAGACCGAAGAAGAAGAUAGGAAGGAGCAGCGGGGCUGCGCUCUAUCUCCUCCGGCAGCGACAUGCGAAGUCCGGGCGUCACAAGCAGCGGUAGCAACAAAGAUGAGACCUUCGGCGGUCUGUGGCAAUGGGAACACCAGAGAAAGAAAACGAAGGGAAAGGGGGUCUCCGGUGAGGUGUCGCGAGGAGCAGCAGUGACGAAUACGAGGUCUUCGGUGCCAUUUGCUCUACGGAAGAAAAAGCGGAGUGCAAGAGCUUGGUCAUCAAUGGUGGAAACCGGAUGAUGAUGCAGGCAGAAUAAUCGAUGAAGGGGGUGUUUGGGUUUCUUUCAUUUAACAGAGAAGUGAAGGAGAAGAAGGGUGAAGAACAACAACAAAACCUUUAGGGUGUUUGGGUGUUACUGUGAAAUCAAUGGGAAAGAAGAAGGAUCGAAAGAGGGUUGUCGCCCUCUUGGAUGUGUCCCUGGCAGCAAUAGAAGGACAAAUUCAAGAGGUGUAUUGGAUUUUAAUUUGCAACUAAAGUUGUAUAGUGUAUUGGUUCAAUCUUUUUUUUUCUUUUUUAUUUUUGGGUUUCAUAAUGUGUGUAAUGUGUGUUUAUUGAUGUAUGUUUUCAACUGGGUAUGUAUUUUAUAUA